AAUAGAUACCCCGGUAGUCCACGCCGUAAACGUUGGGCGCUAGGUGUGGGGUCCGUUCCACGGGUUCCGUGCCGCAGCUAACGCAUUAAGCGCCCCGCCUGGGGAGUACGGCCGCAAGGCUAAAACUCAAAGGAAUUGACGGGGGCCCGCACAAGCGGCGGAGCAUGCGGAUUAAUUCGAUGCAACGCGAAGAACCUUACCAAGGCUUGACAUGGGCGGUAAUCCGGUAGAGAUGUCGGGUCCGUAAGGGCCGUUCACAGGUGGUGCAUGGUUGUCGUCAGCUCGUGUCGUGAGAUGUUGGGUUAAGUCCCGCAACGAGCGCAACCCUUGUUCCAUGUUGCCAGCACUUCGGGUGGGACUCAUGGGAGACUGCCAGGGGUCAACUCGGAGGAAGGUGGGGAUGACGUCAAAUCAUCAUGCCCCUUAUGUCUUGGGCUUCACGCAUGCUACAAUGGCCAGUACAAAGGGCUGCGAGACCGUGAGGUGGAGCGAAUCCCAAAAAGCUGGUCUCAGUUCGGAUCGGGGUCUGCAACUCGA
rnacentral:rRNA from 1 species